rnacentral:misc_RNA from 1 species
UACAGAGGUCCCAAGCGUUGUUCGGAUUCACUGGGCGUAAAGGGUGCGUAGGCGGCCAGGUAAGUUUGAUGUGAAAUCUCCGAGCUCAACUCGGAAACUGCAUUGAAUACUAUCCGGCUAGAGGGUUGGAGGGGGGACUGGAAUUCUCGGUGUAGCAGUGAAAUGCGUAGAUAUCGAGAGGAACACCAGUGGCGAAGGCGAGUCCCUGGACAACUCCUGACACUGAGGCACGAAAGCUAGGGGAGCAAACAGG